rnacentral:rRNA from 1 species
UACGUAGGGGGCUAGCGUUGUCCGGAAUCACUGGGCGUAAAGGGUGCGUAGGCGGGUCUUUAAGUCAGGGGUGAAAUCCUGGAGCUCAACUCCAGAACUGCCUUUGAUACUGAAGAUCUUGAGUUCGGGAGAGGUGAGUGGAACUGCGAGUGUAGAGGUGAAAUUCGUAGAUAUUGGGAAGAACACCAGUGGCGAAGGCGGCUCUCUGGUACGUGACUGACGCUGAGACGCGAAAGCGUGGGGAGCAAACAGG